rnacentral:rRNA from 1 species
CGAACGCUGGCGGCGUGCUUAAGACAUGCAAGUCGAGCGAGAAAGCCACCUUCGGGUGGUGAGUAAAGCGGCGCACGGGUGAGUAACGCGUGGAUAAUCUACCUGUAGGUCUGGGAUAACUCCGGGAAACUGGAGCUAAUACCGGAUAAGACCACGGGGUCUUCGGGUCUUGCGGGAAAAGGUGGCCUCUUCUUGAAAGCUACCGCCUAUCGAUGAGUCCGCGUCCCAUUAGCUUGUUGGCGAGGUAAAGGCUCACCAAGGCUUCGAUGGGUAGCUGGUCUGAGAGGAUGAUCAGCCACACUGGAACUGAGACACGGUCCAGACUCCUGCGGGAGGCAGCAGUCGGGAAUUUUGGGCAAUGGGGGAAACCCUGACCCAGCAACGCCGCGUGAGGGAUGAAGGCCCUCGGGUCGUAAACCUCUGUCGGAAGGGAAGAAAGGUCUCCGUUCGAAUAGAGCGGGGGCUUGACGGUACCUUCAAAGGAAGCACCGGCUAACUCC